GUAUGACAGGGGUAAAACACAUGCGCACAGAUGUGCACAGAUCUCUCUAUCCUUAGCUGUUCUUCCCAAGUAAUUAAGAUCAACAUAGCUGAACUGCAGAACAUGGUGUUUCUUUGAUUUAUAACUUGCAGACUGAAUGGCCUUCAAGACUUUUAUAAGUUUCUCAACAAAGUAAGCAAGGCAGAAGUACUUAGUUCCUCCCUACUUUAUUCCGUUGUAGAAUGGCUCUUUGAUCUUUAGCCAGAGAUUGGAGCUGGAUAUGAUUACUCAGUGUUUCUCACUGAGAUGGAGCUAAGGGAAUUGGGUAAAAUUACCAGCACCAGCCCAGGACAAACAAACGAUAUGUUUCAUGUGAUGCUUAACUAAACUGCAGAAAGUAUUAACACAGAAUAUUGUGAAGGACAACAUUUCAUAAGGAUUCAAAAGUUAUUAGAUAUGCCACUCGAAGAUGUUUUACACAAUGUCCUGAGUAUACUACAGAAACUAUCUUGCCCUUGAUAAUCUUCCUCUGCCAAAUGUCUACUAUUGACCAUUUUGGAGUCAGGAGCCAGGGCUAGAAGCAUUUUUUCAUGCAACAUAGUCAUUCCUAUAAUAUGUUCCAUGCUCAUAAACUGGUAUGCAGAGUAAGAUUUUUCAGUUUUUGACACACAUGAUCUCUUGAUGAUCAUGCCAAAUGGAAUUGUUAGGUGCAUUUUAUCAAGCAUUUGAGUAACCCUAGCAUUCUCAGGGACAAAAAGCACUAUCAACUCAUUCAGUCAAAUUGUUAAGAUAUUUAUUCUACUGAAGUUUCAGAGAUAGUUAUUUUUCAUAUGGAGCAUUCUGCCUUUUGCCUUUUGAAAAGCCAGUUGUUCUCUCAGUUUCAAUGAGCCCUUUAAGCAUAACGAGAAUAUUGUGGGACUAUGAAGGCUUAAAAGCUCUGCUUGUUUCUAUGCUGUAAUAAAUGAUCAUUUCAGUACAAUGACACAGAAUUCUUUUACAUCAUUAAGUCUUCACAUUCUUUCAAAGACAUAAUUUAAUACAAAUUUUUUUUCACAUAUGCAGUCUUCCUAUUUGUCUCAAAGAAAUUUAAGACUUCAGAAACAAGCUGCACAGGUAGCCUGUACUAGGCACCCACUAUAAUGUCAACCCUACAUGUCUUCUCUUUAAUCCUUACCCAUAAGCUCUAGGCUGGGUCAUCAUUCAUCCCCAGGCAGAGCUCAGUGCAUUCCAGCUCUUCUCUCCUAUAAAGAGCUAUGUCUUUCCAGCCUGUCUUCCCUGAAAAGCCUGUAUCUCUCCAUUGCAGCACUCCAGUCAAAGGUGCCAUGCCACUAUGACUUUGUGAUCCCAAAAUGAUCAUAACACUGCAGCUGCACGCAGAUCUCUAAUUAAUGUUCAUGCUUCAUGUGUGAGCAUUAGUGUACAAGUAUAUCACUAAUAGCAACAUUUAUUGUACCGUCUUCACCAACUUACAAAACUCCAACUCACCUUCACAGUAAUCAGAUAAGACUCACACUUGAUUUUUACUGGUGUUGCCAAAGCACCAUUUUUUGCCCUAGAAGUGCUUUACAUUUCUAUCGUAUUUUAUCUCCACGUGUAAACCUCUUUGGUUCAAAACUCAUGUUAACCUUGUUUUGCAUUCCUUUCCCAUGCAAAGGUAUUUAACUGUAAGUAGCAUACAGCAAAGAAGGGCCAAUUCUAGUACCCAGACAACUCAAAAAGGUAAGAUGUGACAGAGAACUCGGAUGUUUUAGAAAGGUAUGGCACCAUCUAAAAAACCCUCAAAUUUUGCUUUUACAGAGGCAAAAUAAAGGGAUUGUCUCCAUCUUCUAUCGCUGAAAACUGUCAGUCACAUGUCAAAUGAAAACAAGCAAAGACUUCUUAGGCCUCUAACUAUAAAACAGACAGGAUAAUCAUACACAUACCAAAUGCUACUUUUAGUAAUUUUGCUCCUUAAUGCAUUUCAGCUGACUCCAUGUUGCUUGUAGAUUAAUCUGAAUUUACUGGUAUAAAAAGAUACAAAUGAACCAUAGUCUUAUUCAUUGUUCUUUUUAUUCAUGUGUGGUCCUUUUAAAAGACUGAACCUUCUGGGAAGGAUGUUGAAGCAUUUUCCGUCUUCAUAACAGGACACUAUCCUUGACAGUUUUGUCCCAAAAUCUCAACAUCAGGUUGCCUUACCAUCCUUCUUGUUCUGGAUACUAUGUGACAUGGCCUUAUGUGGAAAUCUUCUCCGCUAUUAUUUGGAGAGAAGGCUGCAUCCAUUCCCCUGAGUUUGGGUUUAGGUAUUGUGAUAUUGUGUUGAUCAUUAAUUAGUUGUUAGGCAGCUUGCUAUUGUUGUCUCUGUGUAGGCGUGAAAGCAGUGCUCAUAAAGAAAUACAGUUUGUUCCAAGCUUAGCUAUCCAUCUUAGCAACCAAAGCCUGUAAUCACACUUCUCAUUUUGAGGUCUCAUUGUGUGAUUUUUCAGGAAUUAGAGCUGCACCUUCAGACUUCUCUGUGGUCUGGUUUAAGCUGUCUGUGGGAUUACAUAUCUUCUGGUGAAAUCCUGACUGCUGACAAUAGGUUAGACUCCAUUGAUGCUAAAGCAAAGAGCAGCAGAUAAUAGCCAGUGCACUUUCAUUUAAAGCAGUGUGACAACAUUUUGUUUCCUACUGGCCUUCAGACUGUUCUGGAGAAGACAGAAGGCCAAAAGAUCACCAGAAUAUUUCUGCUUCUAAUGAAAAAUUACAAUUUCUUCUCAAGUAUCAGACAACUAAUAAGAAAAUGCGCAUCACCAAUUCAGUUUAUUUUUUCUCUGGAAGAGCCUGGCAUUUCUGUCUCAGAAACAUAAAAUGUGCAUGCGUGCAUGACUGCAGUGAUACUACGUUUAAUAGAAUCAUAGGGAAUAGAGUUGAAAUAUUGGUGGAUUAAACUGCAUAGUUUCAUUAUCCUUAAGUUUACCUAUCAGAGAAAUAAAAAUUUGAAAAAUAAUAAAUGUCAUAAAAAAGAAGUAAUUUAUGGCAACAUUUUGCCAUAUAAGUAGCUGGAUUACAGUUGUUUGACAUCUGUAAUGAUUCAUGGCCAUAUCUAGUGGAAUACAACCAUGCUGACCCAGUAUAUCAUACCACCUAGAAAGAAAAAGAGGAUACAUGAAGAUGACACUUGAAUUUGAGUGAGGGCUUCUGGAUUCCAGCAAUGGAGAACUAUAUUUACCAUAAGUCUAAACUUGCCCAAGCAUAAUUUAAGGUAUAGUGGUCCACAGCUUGUGCCAAAAAUAGUUCUGUACAAUAUGUAUACUUCUUGUAGAUAAAAUCAACUCUUUCAUUGACCAGUUUCCUUUAACCACUGUGAUGAACAGAUACUUACUUAUGAACCAAACAUAUAGCAGAGUGACUGAUGUGUGGAUGAUUAAGUCACAAUACCAUAAUAAACUAAUAAAGUUGGUACACAUAAUUGAUUCUAGACCUUGGCUGCAUAUUUGGCAAAACAGUAGCAAAAAACUUCCAGCUGAGGCAGCAACAGAAGUGACAGAGAAUUUGACGUAAACCAGAGCAGAGCAUCAUGACAUAAUAUACUUCAAAGUACCUAAGUUUUUAAAAUCAGCAUAGUUGAAUAUUCUAUUAACCUGACUUCUAGGGUGCAAUGCCAAUGCUUUCUUCUGAGAGAAUAAUUCAAAAUCAUGUUAGAACAUAUAUUUAAUGCAAGUACCUUCACUUUCUUUGAUCCUCUGUUCUUACAUAUAGGGUCCCAGGUUCUUACAGGUGUACGCAAUUCUGGAAGGAUAUCAGCAGUUCCAAGCAUUUCUGGCUAGAAUAUUAGUAAAAUUAGGAUAAUACGUCCAUAGAUCAACAUCCCACGCUUUUUUGUUUGGUUAUGGGGCUUUUUUUUUUUUUUAAAAAAAAAAGAUUAAAAUGGUAAGACUUUUUACAGCUGAAACAACUUUGGAUGUACUGUGAACAAAUCACAUUGUUUUAUGCAAAGACAAGCUAAAAAAUUUAUGAAAUGUUUAUGUUUUCUAUACUAAAGCCUAAAAUAAGUGCUGAAUAUGUUGGCUGUUAUGUAUUGAAAUAUUUUUAAAUUAUAUAAUAUUUUCUUUUAUAUUUUAUAUGUAUCACACAAUAGUAAUAAUAAAUCUUGUGAAUAAUC